rnacentral:rRNA from 1 species
GAUGAGCCUGCGUAAGAUUAGCUUGUUGGUAAGGUAAUGGCUUACCAAGGCUACGAUCUUUAGCUGGUCUGAGAGGACGAUCAGCCACAUUGGGACUGAGACACGGCCCAGACUCCUACGGGAGGCAGCAGUGGGGAAUAUUGGACAAUGGGGGCAACCCUGAUCCAGCAAUGCCGCGUGUGUGAUGAAGGCCUUAGGGUUGUAAAGCACUUUCACUGGUGAAGAUGAUGACGGUAACCAGAGAAGAAGCCCCGGCUAACUUCGUGCCAGCAGCCGCGGUAAUACGAAGGGGGCGAGCGUUGUUCGGAAUUACUGGGCGUAAAGGGCGCGUAGGCGGCUCUUUAAGUUAGGCGUGAAAUCCCCGGGCUCAACCUGGGAACUGCGCUUAAGACUGGAGAGCUAGAAAACGGAAGAGGGUAGUGGAAUUCCCAGUGUAGAGGUGAAAUUCGUAGAUAUUGGGAAGAACACCAGUGGCGAAAGCGGCUACCUGGUCCGGAUUUGACGCUGAGGAGCGAAAGCUAGGGGAGCAAACAGGAUUAGAUACCCUGGUAGUCCUAGCUGUAAACGAUGGAUACUAGACGUAGGAACUGGAUUGACGGUUUCUGUGUCGCAGCUAACGCGUUAAGUAUCCCGCCUGGGGAGUACGGUCGCAAGACUAAAACUCAAAGGAAUUGACGGGACCCCGCACAAGCGGCGGAGCAUGCGGCUUAAUUCGAUGAUACCCGUAGAACCUUACCUGGACUUGACAUAUAGGGUCUAGCUAUAGAGAUAUAGUGUGCAUUAGCGCCCUAUACAGGUGGUGCAUGGCUGUCGUCAGCUCGUGUCGUGAGAUGUUGGGUUAAGUCCCGCAACGAGCGCAACCCACAUCCCUAGUUGCCAGCAGUUCGGCUGGGCACUCUAUGGAAACUGCCCGUGAUAAGCGGGAGGAAGGUGUGGAUGACGUCAAGUCCUCAUGGCCCUUACGGGUUGGGCUACACACGUGCUACAAUGGCAUCUACAGUGGGUUAAUCCCCAAAAGAUGUCUCAGUUCGGAUUGUCGUCUGCAACUCGACGGCAUGAAGUCGGAAUCGCUAGUAAUCGCGUAACAGCAUGACGCGGUGAAUACGUUCCCGGGCCUUGUACACACCGCCCGUCACACCAUGGGA